AGUCCACUUAAGCCUAGCUUAGUGUUGGGAGACUGCUCCAGCGGUGCUACUCUGUAGCUACCCUGCAGCUCCUUAAAGACAGCGGCGGAGUUGUGGUAUCCUCUGAGCUUAGUAACUUAUUCUAGCUUUCGAGUAUAUCACUUCCCCUGCCGUAAAACCCUUAAUUUUAAU
rnacentral:misc_RNA from 1 species